GGGAUUAGUGGCGAACGGGUGAGUAACACGUGAGUAACCUGCCCUUGACUCUGGGAUAAGCCUGGGAAACUGGGUCUAAUACCGGAUAUGACCGCUUCACGCAUGUGAUGGUGGUGGAAAGCUUUUGUGGUUUUGGAUGGACUCGCGGCCUAUCAGCUUGUUGGUGGGGUAAUGGCCUACCAAGGCGACGACGGGUAGCCGGCCUGAGAGGGUGACCGGCCACACUGGGACUGAGACACGGCCCAGACUCCUACGGGAGGCAGCAGUGGGGAAUAUUGCACAAUGGGCGCAAGCCUGAUGCAGCGACGCCGCGUGAGGGAUGACGGCCUUCGGGUUGUAAACCUCUUUCAGUAGGGAAGAAGCGAAAGUGACGGUACCUGCAGAAGAAGCGCCGGCUAACUACGUGCCAGCAGCCGCGGUAAUACGUAGGGCGCAAGCGUUAUCCGGAAUUAUUGGGCGUAAAGAGCUCGUAGGCGGUUUGUCGCGUCUGCUGUGAAAGACCGGGGCUCAACUCCGGUUCUGCAGUGGGUACGGGCAGACUAGAGUGCAGUAGGGGAGACUGGAAUUCCUGGUGUAGCGGUGAAAUGCGCAGAUAUCAGGAGGAACACCGAUGGCGAAGGCAGGUCUCUGGGCUGUAACUGACGCUGAGGAGCGAAAGCAUGGGGAGCGAACAGGAUUAGAUACCCUGGUAGUCCAUGCCGUAAACGUUGGGCACUAGGUGUGGGGGACAUUCCACGUUUUCCGCGCCGUAGCUAACGCAUUAAGUGCCCCGCCUGGGGAGUACGGCCGCAAGGCUAAAACUCAAAGGAAUUGACGGGGGCCCGCACAAGCGGCGGAGCAUGCGGAUUAAUUCGAUGCAACGCGAAGAACCUUACCAAGGCUUGACAUGGGCCGGAUCGCCGCAGAAAUGUGGUUUCCCCUUUUGGGGCCGGUUCACAGGUGGUGCAUGGUUGUCGUCAGCUCGUGUCGUGAGAUGUUGGGUUAAGUCCCGCAACGAGCGCAACCCUCGUUCUAUGUUGCCAGCGGUUCGGCCGGGGACUCAUAGGA
rnacentral:rRNA from 1 species